UACGUAGGGCGCAAGCGUUGUCCGGAAUUAUUGGGCGUAAAGAGCUCGUAGGCGGCUUGUCACGUCGGGUGUGAAAGCCCGGGGCCUAGCCCCGGGUCUGCAUUCGAUACGGGCAGGCUAGAGUGUGGUAGGGGAGAUCGGAAUUCCUGGUGUAGCGGUGAAAUGCGCAGAUAUCAGGAGGAACACCGGUGGCGAAGGCGGAUCUCUGGGCCAUUACUGACGCUGAGGAGCGAAAGCGUGGGGAGCGAACAGG
rnacentral:rRNA from 1 species